rnacentral:misc_RNA from 1 species
GUGUAUGGCGUUAGUUGGUGACAACUGCUUGGUACCUACGAUAGCUAGGUCUCGGCUAUAUCCAGUAAUCUUACAGUGAUCAAUAUGUCCCAGAUAUUUUCUAUAAGCUCACCCAACGCCUAUAGAAUACCUGUUAGUUCAGGUGCUGACUGCUCUUCCCGUAGAACCUCAGUUUACUUUCUCCAGCCAAAGUCAAGGAGAACCUUUCCCACCAGAGAACUGCUCAAGUAUGGGAGAAGGUCAGGUAAAAACAUUACGAGCAGUUUUAAUACUGCAAAGGAUUUUCACACUUUAGUGAGAUACUUAAACCAGUUCCCUCCUGGAUCACUUAGGAGAUCUGUGUACGGCGAUCAGAAACAAAAAUGUUGAAUUGGCUCGGCGCUUGAGUAAAAGUGAACAGCGGUGCACAGUGAUACAGCUUAUGCAAGCUGCAAAGGCCCCCUCACCAGAGCCACAAGGAUCAGGGGAGGUGGACAUGUUUGAUAUGUCCCAUUCCCCCAGUGGUGCAGGCUGGUCGUGCAAGCACUGUACGCUUAUGAACCAACACAGACACGAGAACUGUGACAUGUGUGGCUUGCCUCAACACUGAGAAAAGAGAUUAAAAGUUUGUUGGAAAUCAUUAUUGCUAAAAGUCAAGAUGAAAC